GCUUUUGCUAAAUGAUGGGAAUUUAUUGAAUCUUUUUUUUUUAAAGGAUUUUCUGAGAUAUUUUUACUGAUCACCUAUCCUCAGAAAAGGUCGUCAGUGUCUGAUCGGUGGGGGGUCCAACACACGAGACUCCUGCACAUGCACAGCUGCUUAUAUCACUUCUUAUUCUCUGUUCUGGAGAUGGGAGUGUGUCCCCGAGGGCUGCCUUCUUGGAGGACACCCAAAACGAUGAGGGAAGACACUGCUGCUGCUGCCUGAAACCCUCAGUAUCCCACGUGGCAGGAAACAACGGGAUCAGGUGUAGGGGAAGGGCUUUUGAUUGCUGACUUCCAUGUUUGCUGUCCCUGGAAGGUUCCUACAAUAUAGAAUCCUCUCAGUUAAUAUCUUCCAUUGAACAGAAUUUUUCUGAUUGACCCAUCAUGGAUGGGGACAGAGACAAGAUGGCAGAGAGGAUAUUAACUCUCACCCUAGAGAUACUCUUCCAACUUACUGGAGAGAAUUACACAGUGGCGAAGAAGACCUCUAGUGAGCACUGUCAGGCUCCUGUGUAUGAAGGAUGGGGAAGAACCCUGAGCCCAAUCACAGGUCCUCCACCUCACCCCCUGAUACAUGAGGAGAUCAAUGAACAGAAGAUCCUAGAACUUACCCACAAGAUGAUUGAGCU